UACGAAGGGGGCUAGCGUUGCUCGGAAUCACUGGGACGGUAAAGGGCGCGUAGGUCGGAGUCUUUAAAGUCGGGGGUGAAAGCCUGACGGCUCAACCUCAGAAUUACCUUCGAUACUGGAGAUCUUGAGACCGGAAGAGGUAAGUGGAACUGCGAGUGUAGAGGUGAAAUUCGUAGAUAUUCGCAAGAACACCAGUGGCGAAGGCGGCUUACUGGUCCGGUUCUGACGCUGAGGCGCGAAAGCGUGGGAGCAACAGG
rnacentral:rRNA from 1 species